rnacentral:tRNA from 1 species
GGCAGCGUGGUGUAAUGGUUUGAGCACUGGACUAUGACUCUGGACAUCAAGGUUCAAAUCCUAGCUCAGCCA